AAGGAUUUGCCAGUAGAUUGUCAACUUGAUUCAUGAUGAUGACUGCUAGCUAAGAUUUUGAAAGUUUGAUGUUGACAUGAUCAGUCAAAGCAAAGCUACUGUAGAUAUAACGUGAUUUGACUUUUUAUCUGUGGACAAUGACUUGGAGCCUUCUUGGAUGGGCAGUUCCAAUGUAACUCUUUGGCAGCACCCAAGAAAGCACUGAGCAAGCCUGAAACACCUGCAUUUUGGAGCUGCCUUCCUCAAGAAAUCAAGAGACCAUGUUUAGGACUUCAAUGCUGUCCUCAGUCCACCUGGUCGUGCUGCUGCUCCAGUUUCAACUGUUCUGCCUGCGGCUAUGGAACCCAGACCUGUUCACCGGAAAUGCUACUUUGUCCUGCUGUUUUCAUCUCUCUCUCUCUCUCUCUCUCUCUCUACCGCACCUGCUGUCUCUAACUCUGAAUGCUCGGCUAUGAAAAGGCAACUGACAUUUACUCCUGAGUUGCUGACCUGUUGCACCCUCUAGAACCACUGUGAUUAUUAUUAUUUGACAAUUUGAACAUGUUCUGUUAUAAUCUCCACCCGGCACAGCCAGAAGAGGACUGGCCACCCAUCAGAGCCUGGUUCCUAGUCGCCGUGCUUCUACAUCUGCAUUGCUUGCUGUUUGGGGUUUUAGGCUGGGUUUCUGUAUAGCACUUUGUGACAUCGGCUGAUGUAAAAAGGACUUUAUAAAUAAAUGUGAUUGAUUG
ensembl:lncRNA